rnacentral:lncRNA from 1 species
AAGCUGUGCUGAGGGAGAGCUGAUCUGCUGGGGAGACAGCCUGAAGCUGAUCUGCUGGGGAGACAGCCUGAAGCUGUGCUGAGGGAGAGCUGACCUGCUGGGGAGACAGCCUGAAGCUGUGCUGAGGGAGAGCUGAUCUGCUGGGGAGACAGCCUGAAGCUGUGCUGAGGGAGAGCUGAUCUGCUGGUGAGACAGCCUGAAUCUGUGCUGAGGGAGAGCUGAUCUGCUGGGGAGACAUGAAGUAUUACACAGAGAUCACGACCAAACAAUUUACAGGCGUACACCUGGACAACUGUCACUCCGCUCCGCUACACUUGCAUGACCGAGAUACAGUAUGCUGAUCUCACUAUAGAUCCACACAUUCAUAUCUGCAUAUCCUGGUGAAUAUUUUCCAUGAUACUCUUAAACUGAAUGUACUGAGUAUUACAGGUGUUACUAGGCCAACAUUAUCCUCUAUUGCCGGGGGGAAAACGUUGAAGUCUGUCUAGAAAAGGGGACCCCUAGUCUUCCUGCCAUCUUGUGUGAAUGUGCUAUGGAACAUCUAGAGCAUUAUGAAAAAUGACAAAUUAUGUCAAAUAAAUCUAAGUACAUACAGUGCCGUGAAUAUCACAGCACAGUAGUGUUUACUGGACCAAUGCAUUGUCCUGACUGAGCAUGAUGCUAAAUCUGUCUGUCUCUCCUGCUCUCUUUCUAUUGAUUAUCUUAUUCCACAGCUUACUUUGAUUCUCACAUCUUUUGUAAAGAUUCCUAAUAUUGAGUUGCCCCCCCCCCUUUUUUUGGUGGCCCAUGUUGACUCUGAUGCUUCCCACAGUUGUCAAGUUGGGUGGGGGACCAUUCUUUAUACCCACUGGAAACGGUUGAGCGUGAAAAGCCCAGCAGCGAUGCAGUUCUUGACGCAAACCACUGUGCCUGGCACCUACUACCAUACCCCAUUCAAAGGCAAAUAAAGCAGGUGUUCUUAAUAUACAAAACAUUAAGUGUAUAACUAUAUUUUCCAUUAUCACCGGACUACCUUUGCACAUUCACUUAAACAUAAAUUGAUUUUGUUACUACAUUUCCCAUCACCCCUUUAAUCGGGCUAAUUCCCACCAUUAACUUGUUUGUUGCCUGGUAAUUGACAUGUCCCCCUCCCCUCUGUGUGUCGUUUUCAUAUUUACUUUAUUUCUUGCCCAGCCUGUACCCCUUCACUGUCCCCUUCCCAUCUCUCUCCCUCUCCUCCUCUCUUGUCUCAUAUCUAUCUCUCUUUCUAUAUCCCGUUCCCAUCUCUCUUCCUCCUCUUUUCUAUCUCCAAUCUCACUCUUUCUCCCUUCCCCAACAUUGCCUGUGUUGCAUUGUGUGCCCUGGCCUGUGUGUGUGUGGUGUGGCUGUGCUGUGUGUAGUACAUGCUGGAGAGAGCUCGCGAGCUGAAGCCGGACCUGUAUAUGGUAGCUGAGCUGUUCACCGGCAGCGAGGAGCUGGACAAUGUCUUCGUCACUAGACUGGCCAUUAUCUCCCUCAUCAGAGCCAUGAGUGCAGGAGACAGUCACGGGGAGGGCAGGCUGGUCUUCACAUUUGGUGGAGAGCCUGUGGGCUCGGUCGUUCUGCCCAGCCUCACACGUCUAGUGCCCUCUAUCGCCCAUGCCAUGUUCCUCGACGUUAC